rnacentral:rRNA from 1 species
UACGGAGGGUGCAAGCGUUAAUCGGAAUUACUGGGCGUAAAGCGCGCGUAGGUGGUUUGAUAAGCGAGAUGUGAAAAGCCCCCGGGCUACCACGGUGAACGGCAUUUCGAACUGUCAGGCUAGAGUAUGGUAGAGGAGUGUGGAAUUUCCUGUGUAGCGGUGAAAUGCGUAGAUAUAGGAAGGAACACCAGUGGCGAAGGCGGCACUCUGGACCAAUACUGACACUGAGGUGCGAAAGCGUGGGGGAGCAAACAGGAUUAGAUACCCCGU